UAAUACCGCAUGAGACCACGAGUCCGCAUGGACUUGAGGUCAAAGGUGGCCUCUGCUUGCAAGCUACCGGUUGAAGAUGGCUUCGCGUCCCAUUAGCUAGUUGGCGGUGUAAAAGACCACCAAGGCGACGAUGGGUAGCUGGUCUGAGAGGAUGGUCAGCCACACUGGGACUGAGAUACGGCCCAGACUUCUACGGGAGGCAGCAGUCGAGAGGCUUCGGCAAUGGGGGAAACCCUGACCGAGCGACGCCGCGUGCAGGAUGACGGCCCUUGGGUUGUAAACUGCUUUUAUCGGGGAAGAAAUGCGAUCAGGUGAAUAAUCUGGUCGUUUGACGGUACCCGAUGAAUAAGCUCCGGCUAACUCCGUGCCAGCAGCCGCGGUAACACGGGGGGAGCAAGCGAAUCACUGGGCGUAAAGGGCGUGUAGGCGGUCAGGUAAGUGG
rnacentral:rRNA from 1 species